rnacentral:tRNA from 1 species
AGCAGCGUGGCUCAGUGGAAAGAGCCUGGGCUUUGGAGUCAGAGAUCAUGGCUUCGACUCCCAGCUCUGCCA